GUCUGCAUGAUGAAAAGUGUCGUAGAGAGUUCUUGAGUCUGAAGGCCAAUGAUAUCAGAUGGAAAGUGGGAUCUACAACAUGAAAGAACGGCGUUGGAAAUGAUAAAUAUAUGGGCCCACUCACCAGACCACCCACACUGGGUGGACUUACCCUCUUUCCUGGGAGAAGAAUGAGGUUCUUGGAAUCGUCUCUAGUUGGGGGAAGGCAGUGAUUGUGUCAAACAGCCGUAUGGAGAGGUCUGCAUAGGGAAGAACUGAAGUCUACCAAAACCCACAGGAAUAAUCUUGGAUGUGGACACUCUAUCCCCAGGUGAAAGAUUUCUGUCCUCAAAAUAGAUUACACAAUGUUCCAUCAGAUACUGUAACAUCCCCUGAGGAUUUUCAUGCCUUUAUAAUCUCAUCUGAAGACUAAAAGAACCCUAGCCACUACCAAGUUCUUUAUGAAAAGUCGUGGGUAGAAAUGAAGGAUGGAUUUAAAAAAAUAAUUAAAUAAAACACGAAGAUGUAAGCUCAGCUUCUACAUAAUGGAUCAUGAGGUGAGUCCUUCUCAGCUGUGGACCAGACAUCAAGCAUCACUGGAGGGCAAUUCUCACUUUUCUUUGACAACGAUCACGUUUCCUUUUCCAGAUGACAUCUGCCUAAGAAGAAACAUGAUGUACCAGCAAAACUUUAGUCUGCAAAGGAUCAUGAGCCAAUAAGCUGCAAUUGUUGCUUUGAAAAGGCAGAAGCAAAAGAAGAGUUGAUGGAGAUACCAGGCAUGAAAGGGUCGUAAGUUCUGGGCUUUCCAAUAAUAAGCUAUUCUCCUCCAGAUGAUUUUAAUAAUCUCCAGCACAUGUGUUCUAACCCCUUGAUGCUGUACAAUAUGUGUAACUAAAUAAAAGAUCUCUCCAGAUUCAGAGAUUUACUGUUUGUGAUGGGAAAAGGCCAACCAGAUGACAUCAUUUAUAUUCCAAAUAUGAGCUGCUGCCAAGGCUGGUGAUGUUAAGCUGGAGAAAUUGAUCCUUAGUGUUAUUCUAUGAAAGAAAAGAGAAAAAGGUCUUGGCCUAGAUAGUGUAAUUUUUAAAAAUUUAUGUGAAUUUGAAGAUGAGUUUAAUAAACUUCUAUUUUAUCUAGAAUUGCUUAUGUGCAAUGCAUGGGCUGUUUAGGUACACAAUUACUUCCAUAUAUAAAGUUAGCAGGUUAGAGGAUAAGAAUUACCAUUUUGCCGUUGUUGUUGUUGAAUGGAUAAUCGGUGGUGGUGGGGAUUGACCUGAGGCCUGUCUGCCCCAGCAGAACACACAAGGCAUCAGGGCUGUGCUCACUUGUUCAAAAGCAAAGGUGCCCACUUUGUAAGUGGAGUGUGACAGUCUCUGCUCCCAUCCUUCAACCUCUUCCUUUCUAACAGAACCAUGUUUUCUUUUCAUAUAUCCACAUCCUCCACUACUACGGAAUGCAGAGAAGUUGACACCAUUCCCAGUUUCAAAGGUAGAUCUUGAUUAAUCUAGACCAACAAACACAUGGCAUUCCCCCCAUGACCAGGGAUUCAGGAGUGACUUGUGAGUGUAAUCAGACAAAGGAAAGGACUUAGAUUCCAUACUUGAGGAAAAGGAUUUUCCUUUUCUCUCCUGAGAGAUUAUAACAAAUAGGAAUAGAUCCCUACUUGCUGUUGGCAUCUGUUUUAUAAUUUCAAGAGGGAGUCAAGUUUAGAAUAAGGCCGCCACUGGGGAUGGCUGAUUGAAAAACAAAGUCCUCAACUAUAUCUUUGAGCCUCUGAUUGUGCUGUGCUUUUGCUAUCCUUAAACUUUUAUGUAAAUAUUGCUUUCCCUUAUUAUUUAAGCCAGCUUGCAUUUCUGUUGCUUAUACCUGAAAUCGUCCUGGUUGGAAGAGGUGACAAAAUUUGAUUUCUGAGAUCCCAUCAGCACUUUUUUUUUUGGGGGGGGGCAUACUCUCAUGGCAUUUUUGAAGACAGAGAGUUUUGAGUCUGUGUUGAAUGGCUUUGUGUGCUGUCUCCACACACAGAGUGACUUUCUAAAAUAAGGAGUACUCAUAAUACUCCCUGGCAUCUUGAUCUUUACUCCUUCCAGCCUCGUCUCAGCCAUACUCAUCAGCCCCGCUACCACCUUUCAGUUACUCGGACGUGUUCUCCUUUCUCUCACCUCCAGCCUUGCUCAUGCUCUUCCACUGACUCUAGCAAACUCCUUGACAGCCUCCUUCCCCAUACUUCCCCUCUAUCAAGUCUUGACCUGGGCAUCAUUUCCCCCGGGAAGCCUUCCCUUUGUUGGUCUUCCUAAUACUACCCUAACGUCCUAUUCAUCCCUAUCAGAGCACUUUCCACUUUAUAUGGAAAUGACCCAUCAUCUCAGUUGGACUGUGGAUCCAGUGAGGUCAGGAAACAUCUGUUCUGUUUACAGUUUUGUCCCCAGGGCUUAACACAUAGUUGGUACUACAUAAAAUAUUUGUUGAAAGAAUGAUGAAUUAAUUACUUAAAGCUUUUCAAACAUGCCACAUUACCCAGUGCCCAAGUGCCUUAAUAUGGCCUUCAAUGAUCUGGCCCUGACUUCCUGUCCAGUCCCCUCUUCUCUUACGCACCAGAAAUUUCCUAUUUAAAGUGCACUGACUUACACAUCCUCUGCUGUUUCAUGUCUCAGUGCCCACGAGGAGCAUCUUGCUACUUCCUGAAACUACCCAUUGUUUUGCAGCUCGUCUUCCUUAAGUGGGGAGAGUUCUGUAAAAUAGUAAAAUGAAUGAAAACAAUGAAAACAAACAAAAAAACACUUCACCAAAAAAAAAAAAAAAAAAAGAAAAAA
rnacentral:lncRNA from 1 species